AAUAAAUUAUUUUUUAAAAUUUCGCAAGGAUAGAAAACAGAAUAAAAAUCAUGUGAGAUUCUCGUUAUCCCAUUGGUGGCAAAGAGGCCAACUGCAUUACCGCCUGAAGACCGCUACGUUACGGACAGUGGAUACUUAUGAAAGUACACGAAGAGAAACUCGUGUCUUGCGAGAAACUCGAUUCCAAAUUCAACAUCCGUGGAUAAUCAAGUUCUCCAUUUCGAUAAUAACGAAUCAACGAGUCGCUUCCCAACCGAUAAUACUUCAAUUAUUUCAGAUGAAAAACUCUCGUCAAGAUUCGUAAAAAUUAUACGAGAAAUAAAUGAACAUCGAACGGUAAUGUAAUUCAUUUAUUAAGUGGUUUUCAGAAACCAGUAUGGUCAGAUUUACUUGUGAAAAACGUUUAUCCAGGUUACGACCAGAUCUGCAACUUCAAAUUUACGGUUGCCGUUGUGGGCGACAUAAUUAAAGGAUAAUAAACUUCAGCCAGUAAUACUGUUACAUUCCGUGGAAUAACGGUUCGCAAUUUUAUUUGAUGGAAUGGAGUGAAGACACGUGAGCGUGAUUCAUUAAAUACAUUAGAUUUAAUGACUAUCGACAAUCAUCGAAAGAAAAUAGAUUCGUCAACCGUUCGAUAACGAAGACGAUAUCGUGGGACCAUCCUUUACGCCGCCUCGGACGUUUUGUUUCCACGGAUAAAGGGAAGAAAAGGGGGCGAAAGAAGAAGAAUAAGAAGGAGAAAGGAAAAAGAGGUAGCGAAAGAGGAGAAGGAAAGGACGAAAAUUGCGCCAAAAGUGGCCGAUAAUAUAAUGACGAGAGGAUGUUUCGCGAACAAACAUUUUUCCCCGACGGGGAUAAAGACACGUUGGCCGAAGAAACGUUGCGUUAUCGAGGAGAGGUGAAACUCGAUAACGAGUUCUCGAAAUUAAGCGAACGAGAUUUCGGAUAGCGGAUUCGAAUUUAAGUUUCUUCUCC